ACGAACGCUGGCGGCGUGCUUAACACAUGCAAGUCGAACGGAAAGGCCCUGCUUUUGUGGGGUGCUCGAGUGGCGAACGGGUGAGUAACACGUGAGUAACCUGCCCUUGACUUUGGGAUAACUUCAGGAAACUGGGGCUAAUACCGGAUAGGAGCUCCUGCUGCAUGGUGGGGGUUGGAAAGUUUCGGCGGUUGGGGAUGGACUCGCGGCUUAUCAGCUUGUUGGUGGGGUAGUGGCUUACCAAGGCUUUGACGGGUAGCCGGCCUGAGAGGGUGGCCGGCCCACUUGGGGAUGGGGUACGGCCCAGGCCCCCUCGGGGGGGAGGAGGGGGGAAAUAUGGAAAAAGGGCGGAAGCCUGGAGCCGCAACGCCGCGUGCGGGAAGACGGCCUUCGGGGUGUAAACCGCUUUCGCCUGUGACGAAGCGUGAGUGACGGUAAUGGGUAAAGAAGCACCGGCUAACUACGU
rnacentral:rRNA from 1 species